AUCUCUCUACAUUACGUAAUUUUGGUGAAUAAAAUCGAUAAUAAGACAAAACCACGCCGUGGACCGUCGUUAUGCGCUUGUCCACAGUAGGAAAAUGACAAAUUUGAAAUGUAUUCCGUGCCUAACCUUUUUGAGUUCGACCGAAUUGUGAAAUGUAAUAAUUCUCUUCAUUCUCUUCCCUUCCCCUCUUUCUCUGUCUUUCUUUAUCUACCUAUCUAUCUAUCUCUUUUUGGUUGGAAUUUUCGAUAACGCGUAAAUAUAAUAUAAAACCAAUCGUUCGAUCACUAAUGUAAGAUUUUAGUUACAUAAUAGAUAUUUCAUUUUUUUUCGUCGUUCAACUGACGGAAUUUUGAAAAUCUGAAAUUUACAAACAUAUUACGGUCAAACGGGAGGGAGAUGAAAGGGAUAUGUCCUCAUAUGACAUUUUUUCCAUAAAUAUUUUUAUCCCCAAUAUGUUAAAAAAAAAAAAAAUAUGUAAAUAGUGAUUAUUGAAAAGAAUCAACAUCGUUCGCCCUACUGUAACAGAAUAAUUUGACCGCCUCUGGUUUGGACCUACAUAUAGAAAUCAAAAUUGAGAAAAAAAAUUGUUUUUAAUGAGUACGUUUGAUCCAGGUAUUAAAUUAACUAUAAUAAUUUACAACUAUUCAGUUAUGAAAUUUUACCUUUUGUAUGAGUUCUGUCCGCGAAAUAUGAAAUGCAGAGAGAGCGGAAGACAGGAAUUUUACAUCGAAUUGAUUUUAAUACGCGCUAAUAAUUAUUCACAUUUAACAUAG